UUAUGAAUUAAAUAUGGUGGGAUGUAAAAUAAUUUAUUUUACACCAUGUGCAUAUUGAUAUGGGUCUGUUUUCUGAAAACAUCAUUAGACAGCCUUAGUUCUUUCCAUCAACAGAAUAAGUAACACCACAAUGGAAAUCCAAUCAGUGUCAAGGUGUGUGACUGACCAUGAUCUUCACUGUGUGAAUAUUCAGCCCGAAUCUAGAGUGGGACCACACUUUCCUUUUGCACUUUAUCUUCUUAGUUACUGAAAAGCACUUUGGUGUAUUUCCUUAGGAUUUCUUCUUACUUCCAUACAGUUUCUUUAAGUUUACACAAAGAAUCCAUUUUCAAAAUGUUCAUGUGACCACUAACUUGACUCGGUCUCUUCGGUUGUUCUCCAGGAAGGAUAGAAUUGCUCAGCAGAGAUUGUCCUUGAGGGCUCUAAUCUAAGGCAAAGCUUUUGUUUCAUGUUGUUCUCUGUGUGGCUCCCAGCAGAACACGGAAUGGGCACUUUCCAAGUUACCGUAUCCUUUCCUUUUGUCUAUACCUGGCUUUUUCUUUAUUGAGGGGUGUUUGCAAUUGGUAAGUCACAAACGAUAUUUAAGGAUAAAAAUAAGGAAUCUAAGGAUAUAUUUGAAAUUGGCAUUUUUGUUGCUGAAUUAUUAAAUCUAUGAGCCGCUUUCUCAUUGUACCCAUCUUUAUAAACCUAUGUCUGGCCGGCGCCACGGCUCACUAGGCUAAUCCUCCACCUUGUAGCGCCGGCACACCGGGUUCUAGUCCCGGUUGGGGCACUGGAUUCUGUCCCGGUUGCCCCUCUUCCAGGCCAGCUCUCUGCUGUGGCCAGGGAGUGCAGUGGAGGAUGGCCCAAGUCCUUGGGCCCUGUACCCCAUGGGAGACCAGAAGUACCUAGCUCCUGCCAUAGGAUCAGCGAGGUGCGCCGACCGCAGCAGAGGGUGAACCAAUGGCAAAGGAAGACCUUUCUCUGCCUCUCUCUCACUGUCCACUCUGCCUGUCAAAAAUAAAUAAAUAAAAAUAAACCUAUGUUUAUCUUGUGUCAGAAAACUCAUGAAAAUCUACAUUAUGAGCAUGUAUUUCUAUGGGUUCAAAUAAUGUUUUCCUGUUGUCAGUUGAUAAAAUGAUUGUGUUCUGAAAAUAUCCUAAGAAAACUUUUGAUUUACCUUCCACAGGUGAUUUAAUGCUACCCUGGAGUACGAAUCAGUGUAAGGUGCUUUGAUGCUACCACUGCUGUUGACACAAUACCAGAAAUGGAACCAUCUCAUCAUAUCUGGUGCUUUGGAACAACAGUAAUCGACCCUAUAAAGCAAGCUGCAAAACUCACAUCUAGAAGGGGGCCGCCCAACUCUCCAAAAUGAAUCAUUUUAUUUCAUUCAAUGGUAGCAUAUUCACAGCUGGACAUCACUAAUUUCCCUACACUCUACCAUGAAGCUAAGAGUGUUUUUAGAAAAAAAAUUGACAGAUUUUUCUUUCUGUCCAGAAAUAAACAAAUUGGCUUGCAACUGA